UACGUAGGGUGCAAGCGUUGUCCGGAAUUACUGGGCGUAAAGCGUGCGUAGACGGCUAUCUAAGUCGGGUGUGAAAGCCCCGGGCUCAACCUGGGAAUUGCAUUCGAGACUGAAUAGCUAGGGUACGGUAGAGGGAAGUGGAAUUUCCGGUGUAGCGGUGAAAUGCGUAGAUAUCGGAAGGAACAUCAGUGGCGAAAGCGACUUCCUGGACCAGUACCGACGUUCAGGCACGAAAGCGUGGGGAGCAAACAGG
rnacentral:rRNA from 1 species